rnacentral:rRNA from 1 species
UGCAGUCGACGGUAACAGGUCUUCGGAUGCUGACGAGUGGCGAACGGGUGAGUAACACAUCGGAACAUGCCUAGUUGUGGGGGACAACUACUCGAAAGAGUAGCUAAUACCGCAUAAGAUCUACGGAUGAAAGCAGGGGACCUUCGGGCCUUGCGCAAUUAGAGUGGCCGAUGGCAGAUUAGGUAGUUGGUGAGGUAAAGGCUCACCAAGCCUGCGAUCUGUAGCUGGUCUGAGAGGACGACCAGCCACACUGGGACUGAGACACGGCCCAGACUCCUACGGGAGGCAGCAGUGGGGAAUUUUGGACAAUGGGCGAAAGCCUGAUCCAGCAAUGCCGCGUGCAGGACGAAGGCCUUCGGGUUGUAAACUGCUUUUGUACAGAACGAAAAGCUUUGGGUUAAUACCCUGGAGCCAUGACGGUACUGUAAGAAUAAGCACCGGCUAACUACGUGCCAGCAGCCGCGGUAAUACGUAGGGUGCAAGCGUUAAUCGGAAUUACUGGGCGUAAAGCGUGCGCAGGCGGCUAUGCAAGACUGAUGUGAAAUCCCCGGGCUCAACCUGGGAACUGCAUUAGUGACUGCAUAGCUGGAGUGCGGCAGAGGGGGAUGGAAUUCCGCGUGUAGCAGUGAAAUGCGUAGAUAUGCGGAGGAACACCGAUGGCGAAGGCAAU